GGUCACCUGGCUUGGUCUACGUAAGUUUUGGAGGCUGUAUUAGUUGAUACUUAGAAACCAUGAAAUGACCAGGACAGCCACCUGUGGAAGAGGGAGACGUGACUGGGAGCAGUUUCCCCCACUGCUCCCGAAUUCUCUCCUCUAGGACCACACUGGUUGCAGUUCCACCUUCCUCGUGUAGUUUUGCGUGAUCUGAGUGGUAGUGCUGACACGAUGGAAGGAGACCCUCGGGGUUUACCGCCCAGAAGAGCCGAGGACUGGUCCUCUGCAGGUGACAGUACUUACUGCACGAGCCUGGUGACCUCGGUGUGACCCCUGGAGCCCACACAGAAAAGCGGGAUGCAUUGAUGCAUGUCUGCAAUCUUAGCAUUCCUAUCACAUGAGCUGGGAGACAGAGACAGGCGCCCAGAAGCCUGCUGGCCUGCUAGCCUGAUGUACCCGGAGUGGGAGGGACAAGAGUCCCUGGAUUAAAAACGAAGCGGGAGUGACCUGA